UCACACUCUCUUAAUGACGCCUCUGUCUUUCUCUGUUUCCGCUAUUCUUUUCUCUAUCCUUCCCUAUUCGCUCUCUCCUCUCUGUAUCUCCAUGCAGAUAACCCCCAAUUUUUCCAGAAAAUAUCAAAUCAAAGCAGAGAAAGCCAAUCAAAAUUCUAAACUCCGGCACUAUUCAGAAGCGACAAAGGGAUGUGCAAUUUCAGUUGAAAAAGGAGACUAUUCACUGUAUUAACUUUGAAGAUGCUGAAUUGCUGAUAACUCUGUGCAUAAUUUUGCUUCUUUUUUUUUUUCUCUCUUUUUCCUCUCUCUCUCUCUCUCUCUCUCUCUCUCUCUCUUUUAAGUCAAAGUGAAUAUAGACAUAUAAAUCAUCUAAUUAUGAAUCUAUACUCUUUUUCUAGGAUGAAUCUCAGAGAUGUCUUGAUUCAGUCAGCAUUUUAUGGUUCGGUAUCAAAACAUCAUGGCAAAGGAAAUAACAUUAAUCAAGUAACACCAGCUACACCUGAUUGGACAUGCAAAAUUCAAAGUUCUGGACAGAAGUUGAGAACGAGAAAGUCUUGAGAGAAAGAUGAAAUUUCAGAAUCUUGUUUUUGCAAGAUGAAUAGGUCAUUAUGUUGUAAAUGUGAGAACUAAAGAGACGCACUAAUUCAACAUUUUUUUUCAUUUGGAGUUGGAGUUAGAUGUUGAGUGGCAACACCAUCAAAAGGACUGUAAAUAUUUGAUCUGCAAUGUCAGUUGUCCCUUUGAUAUUUUAGGAACAUCUAUUAUAGACUUUUGAUGAAGUACUUAUUCUUCAGCUCGACGUGUAGUGCUUAAUUACCAUAAUUUUCUCCUA